UACGUAGGGUGCGAGCGUUAAUCGGAAUUACUGGGCGUAAAGAGUGCGUAGGCGGUUCUUGAAGUCCGAUGUGAAAGCCCUCGGCUCAACCGAGGAGGGUCAUUGGAAACUGGAGGACUAGAGUGCAGAAGAGGAAAGUGGAAUUCCAAGUGUAGCGGUGAAAUGCGUAGAGAUUUGGAGGAACACCAGUGGCGAAGGCGACUUUCUGGUCUGUUACUGACGCUGAGGCGCGAAAGCGUGGGGAGCAAACAGG
rnacentral:rRNA from 1 species